GACGAACGCUGGCGGCGCGCCUAACACAUGCAAGUCGAACGGAGUUGUUUUGGAGAAGCCCUUCGGGGUGGAACUGAUUCAACUUAGUGGCGGACGGGUGAGUAACACGUGAGCAACCUGCCUUACAGAGGGGAAUAACGUUUGGAAACGAACGCUAAUACCGCAUAACAUAACGGAAUCGCAUGGUUUUGUUAUCAAAGAUUAUAUCGCUGUAAGAUGGGCUCGCGUCUGAUUAGAUAGUUGGUGAGGUAAUGGCUCACCAAGUCGACGAUCAGUAGCCGGACUGAGAGGUUGAACGGCCACAUUGGGACUGAGACACGGGCCCAGACUCCUACGGGAGGCAGCAGUGGGAAUAUUGCACAAUGGGGGAAACCCUGAUGCAGCGACGCCGCGUGAAGGAGAAGGCCUUCGGGUGUAAACUUCUGUCUUCAGGGACGAUAAUGACGGUACCU
rnacentral:rRNA from 1 species